rnacentral:lncRNA from 1 species
CUCUCCAUAUAUCUAUAAAUUUGAAAUAUUUUAUGAGCGUUUUAAAGCCCGUGAACUGGUUUGUCAAAUUUGUUUUUUGUUUUUUUAUUUUUUGUAUCAUUAAUUUUUAGAAUGUCAUUAAAAUCUCCUCCCAUUAUAAUUUGGCCUAAGCUAUGUUCUUGAGUCCAGUCUUUUACUUUUUUAAAGAAAGCAUUUCUUUUUUUUGCUAUAUUUGGUGCAUAUAUAUUUAUAAGAGAAUAGACAUUAUCUCCUAGUUCAACAUUAAUUAAUAGAUAACGUCCCUCCUGAUCUUUAAAUUCAUUUAUAAUGUUAUAUUUUGUUUGUUUUGUGAACCAAAUUGCUACACCCCUUGAUGCGCUACUACCCCAACUAUGAAAGAUUUCUCCAGGUAAGUCAUUAUUUAAAUUGUCAUUCAUAC